rnacentral:rRNA from 1 species
AGCGUACACGGUGGAUGCCCUGGCAGUCAGAGGCGAUGAAGGACGUGCUAAUCUGCGAUAAGCGUCGGUAAGGUGAUAUGAACCGUUAUAACCGGCGAUUUCCGAAUGGGGAAACCCAGUGUGAUUCGUCACACUAUCAUUAACUGAAUCCAUAGGUUAAUGAGGCGAACCGGGGGAACUGAAACAUCUAAGUACCCCGAGGAAAAGAAAUCAACCGAGAUUCCCCCAGUAGCGGCGAGCGAACGGGGAGCAGCCCAGAGCCUGAAUCAGUGUGUGUGUUAGUGGAAGCGUCUGGAAAGGCGUGCGAUACAGGGUGACAGCCCCGUACACAAAAAUGCACAUACUGUGAGCUCGAUGAGUAGGGCGGGACACGUGGUAUCCUGUCUGAAUAUGGGGGGACCAUCCUCCAAGGCUAAAUACUCCUGACUGACCGAUAGUGAACCAGUACCGUGAGGGAAAGGCGAAAAGAACCCCGGCGAGGGGAGUGAAAAAGAACCUGAAACCGUGUACGUACAAGCAGUGGGAGCCUCUUAAUGGGGUGACUGCGUACCUUUUGUAUAAUGGGUCAGCGACUUAUAUUCUGUAGCAAGGUUAACCGAAUAGGGGAGCCGAAGGGAAACCGAGUCUUAACUGGGCGUUAAGUUGCAGGGUAUAGACCCGAAACCCGGUGAUCUAGCCAUGGGCAGGUUGAAGGUUGGGUAACACUAACUGGAGGACCGAACCGACUAAUGUUGAAAAAUUAGCGGAUGACUUGUGGCUGGGGGUGAAAGGCCAAUCAAACCGGGAGAUAGCUGGUUCUCCCCGAAAGCUAUUUAGGUAGCGCCUCGUGAAUUCAUCUCCGGGGGUAGAGCACUGUUUCGGCAAGGGGGUCAUCCCGACUUACCAACCCGAUGCAAACUGCGAAUACCGGAGAAUGUUAUCACGGGAGACACACGGCGGGUGCUAACGUCCGUCGUGAAGAGGGAAACAACCCAGACCGCCAGCUAAGGUCCCAAAGUCAUGGUUAAGUGGGAAACGAUGUGGGAAGGCCCAGACAGCCAGGAUGUUGGCUUAGAAGCAGCCAUCAUUUAAAGAAAGCGUAAUAGCUCACUGGUCGAGUCGGCCUGCGCGGAAGAUGUAACGGGGCUAAACCAUGCACCGAAGCUGCGGCAGCGACACUAUGUGUUGUUGGGUAGGGGAGCGUUCUGUAAGCCUGUGAAGGUGUACUGUGAGGUAUGCUGGAGGUAUCAGAAGUGCGAAUGCUGACAUAAGUAACGAUAAAGCGGGUGAAAAGCCCGCUCGCCGGAAGACCAAGGGUUCCUGUCCAACGUUAAUCGGGGCAGGGUGAGUCGACCCCUAAGGCGAGGCCGAAAGGCGUAGUCGAUGGGAAACAGGUUAAUAUUCCUGUACUUGGUGUUACUGCGAAGGGGGGACGGAGAAGGCUAUGUUGGCCGGGCGACGGUUGUCCCGGUUUAAGCGUGUAGGCUGGUUUUCCAGGCAAAUCCGGAAAAUCAAGGCUGAGGCGUGAUGACGAGGCACUACGGUGCUGAAGCAACAAAUGCCCUGCUUCCAGGAAAAGCCUCUAAGCAUCAGGUAACAUCAAAUCGUACCCCAAACCGACACAGGUGGUCAGGUAGAGAAUACCAAGGCGCUUGAGAGAACUCGGGUGAAGGAACUAGGCAAAAUGGUGCCGUAACUUCGGGAGAAGGCACGCUGAUAUGUAGGUGAAGUCCCUCGCGGAUGGAGCUGAAAUCAGUCGAAGAUACCAGCUGGCUGCAACUGUUUAUUAAAAACACAGCACUGUGCAAACACGAAAGUGGACGUAUACGGUGUGACGCCUGCCCGGUGCCGGAAGGUUAAUUGAUGGGGUUAGCGGUAACGCGAAGCUCUUGAUCGAAGCCCCGGUAAACGGCGGCCGUAACUAUAACGGUCCUAAGGUAGCGAAAUUCCUUGUCGGGUAAGUUCCGACCUGCACGAAUGGCGUAAUGAUGGCCAGGCUGUCUCCACCCGAGACUCAGUGAAAUUGAACUCGCUGUGAAGAUGCAGUGUACCCGCGGCAAGACGGAAAGACCCCGUGAACCUUUACUAUAGCUUGACACUGAACAUUGAGCCUUGAUGUGUAGGAUAGGUGGGAGGCUUUGAAGUGUGGACGCCAGUCUGCAUGGAGCCGGCCUUGAAAUACCACCCUUUAAUGUUUGAUGUUCUAACGUUGGCCCCUGACCGGGGUUGCGGACAGUGUCUGGUGGGUAGUUUGACUGGGGCGGUCUCCUCCUAAAGAGUAACGGAGGAGCACGAAGGUUGGCUAAUCCUGGUCGGACAUCAGGAGGUUAGUGCAAUGGCAUAAGCCAGCUUGACUGCGAGCGUGACGGCGCGAGCAGGUGCGAAAGCAGGUCAUAGUGAUCCGGUGGUUCUGAAUGGAAGGGCCAUCGCUCAACGGAUAAAAGGUACUCCGGGGAUAACAGGCUGAUACCGCCCAAGAGUUCAUAUCGACGGCGGUGUUUGGCACCUCGAUGUCGGCUCAUCACAUCCUGGGGCUGAAGUAGGUCCCAAGGGUAUGGCUGUUCGCCAUUUAAAGUGGUACGCGAGCUGGGUUUAGAACGUCGUGAGACAGUUCGGUCCCUAUCUGCCGUGGGCGCUGGAGAACUGAGGGGGGCUGCUCCUAGUACGAGAGGACCGGAGUGGACGCAUCACUGGUGUUCGGGUUGUCAUGCCAAUGGCACUGCCCGGUAGCUAAAUGCGGAAGAGAUAAGUGCUGAAAGCAUCUAAGCACGAAACUUGCCCCGAGAUGAGUUCUCCCUGACUCCUUGA